GGGGCUGACUUGGAUUUUGACAGCGCAGUCGAGAGGUAUAUAAGCAUGCCGAGCAUUGAGGAUACGCUCGUAAAUCUGAGACUCACACUUUUAGUAGGCGAAAAUAAUUACGCUCUUGCUGCUUAAUCGAAUUAUAGUAGAUUAGCCUUUUUCGGUACAAGGUACUGAAACAAGACAUCUCCCGGGGCUACGUUCUGAUGCGACCCGAACCGGAGGUGCCGUUAAAUUAGAACUAGGUGGGUGGUUGCUUCGGUUGCCCGCCGAAAUUAAGAAGCUAAGUUUAAAGUAGGGUGCCUUUUCUCAGCUUUAGAUCGAAAACCAAAGAAAGGAUACGCAUGUAGAAAGUAUAUUGCUUACACGUUUGGACGAGGGUUCGAACCCCUCCAGCUCCACUA
rnacentral:tmRNA from 1 species